rnacentral:misc_RNA from 1 species
UUGUGGAGGAGGACGCCGAAGGUGGGGCUAAUGACUGGGGUGAAGUCGUAACAAGGUAGCCGUACCGGAAGGUGCGGCUGGAUCACCUCCUAACAGGGAGACAACAAAAUGUUUAAUAUUAUUAUUUUGUCACCUUAGGUCGAUCGGUAUCUCACGUUCUUAAUUUAUUAAGGAUUUCAUUUCCUAGGUUUUUCUAGGUCACACCCAUUAUUUUUCCUGGGCCAUUAGCUCAGGUGGUUAGAGCGCACCCCUGAUAAGGGUGAGGUCCCUGGUUCAAGUCCAGGAUGGCCCAUAUCUCUAUGUUGGGGGUAUAGCUCAGUUGGUAGAGCGCCUGCUUUGCAAGCAGGAUGUCAGCGGUUCGAGUCCGCUUACCUCCACUGAUUACCACCUCUUCCAUAAUCUGUAGAAAGGGAAUUUUUUGAGUCGUGACCAAAUUCUGAAAGAAUCUAGCUUCCUAAUGAAAUCAUUAAGAUGCUGGACUCAUUGAUUAAUUUCAUUGUUUUCAGAGAACCUUGACAACUGCAUAGAUUAUUUUUUUAAAGACAAUAAGCAUCUUUAAUGAUGCAGAUUUAUUAUUUGUGCGAAUGCAUUAAUAACAAUUCUAUUAAGCUGAUGCUUCAAUUUUGAAGUUAUUGGUCAAGCUACAA